UUUCCGUAGGUGAACCUGCGGAAGGAUCAUUAAAGAUUCGAGGCUUCGGCCUUCACCUCUUCAGCUGUGCGCCUCGGCUGCACGCUGUCGAACUACACACACCUGUGCACCUUAUCGGUUUCGGCCUCACGGUCGUCGCCGCUUUACAUCUUACAACGUCAGUCCAGAAUGUUUAAAACUAUAAAAGUAACAACUUUCAACAACGGAUCUCUUGGCUCUC
rnacentral:misc_RNA from 1 species